rnacentral:rRNA from 1 species
AUUGAACGCUGGCGGCAGGCCUAACACAUGCAAGUCGAGCGGAUGAAGGGAGCUUUCUCCUGGAUUCAGCGGCGGACGGGUGUGUAAUGCCUAGGAAUCUGCCUGGUAGUGGGGGAUAACGUCCGGAAACGGGCGCUAAUACCGCAUACGUCCUGAGGGAGAAAGUGGGGGAUCUUCGGACCUCACGCUAUCAGAUGAGCCUAGGUCGGAUUAGCUAGUUGGUGGGGUAAAGGCCUACCAAGGCGACGAACCGUAACUGGUCUGAGAGGAUGAUCAGUCACACUGGAACUGAGACGCGGUCCAGGCGCCUAAGAGAGGCAGCAGUGGGGAACGUUGGACAAUAGGCGAAAGCCUGACCCAGCCAUGCCGCGUGUGUGAAGAAGGUCUUGGGUUGGUAAAGCACGUCAAGUGGGGGGAAAAGGCAGUCAGUUAGUACCUUGCUAUUUUGACGUUACCUACAGAAUAAGCACCGGCUAACUUCGUG